rnacentral:lncRNA from 1 species
GCCGUUAACAUUACAAGCCGAGAACAAUUCAGCGCGAAUUGGGCCGAACGCCAAGUUAUAUAACUCGUCACUGUAAGUGGGGGAAUUCGAUGAUUUCAAUUUAUUCACCUAAUAGUAUACAAAACCAUUUACAUGUUAGUCAGACAAAAUUAAAUACUACAAUUUAUAUCUGUCAAUUAUAAAACACUUAUAACUUACAGAAUCCAAAAACCAUU